GAGGGGGAAAGGGAGAGAGAGAGGGACGCCGCAGCCUCGGCGGCGGACGGCGGCGCCGGAAGGGUAGCGACGGCGGCAUCAGGUAGUGAGGGGGAGGAGCUUCUCUCACAUCAAAUUAAGGUUGAGCAGCGAAGUGGUGGAGGAAGUGCUAUUGAAACAAUACAUUUAAUUCAGUCAGAUUAGGACUCUCGGAGGUUCAUGUCUCCAUACAUGGAACCGCGUUCUUUUCCUUCCGCUGUGCAUCUUAAAAGACUCAAGUCUAUUUUGUUCAAAACUCUGGUAUUUGAAAACUUUUACAAACAAUUACUCGAGUUUUCAUAAGCGAGUAUCUUUUCCUCUAUGUAUCAGCACUUGAUUAGUCAUGUCUCCAACCAAUGUUUGAUUUUAUUUUCCCUUA